UACUUAACAAAGUACAAACUGUAUGAAAAUAAAGAAAUGAGGGGUAAAACCCAAAAUACACAAUGACUAUAAAUUUAACAAAAUACACAAACAUCAGUAAUUUAACUAAACAUAAUCCCCCAAAAGGAGGGACAAACUAAUUCAACAGUUUCCUAAAUAAAAACGUCCCUGCUAACAACAAGCAAACAAACAAAUCAAGACAAAGCCCAAUCAACUUUAAAGAGACUCCUCUGAGCCAAGAUGGAGUCAGCAAGCAGGUGAGCACACAAAAAUAACCAAGCUUCCCAACGAGCAGGCAUACAAAAUACCCAAGCUUCCCAACAAGCAGGUAAGCAUACAAAAAUAACCAAGCUUCAAAAUUUCACAACACCAAAGUCAGAAGUGGCGAGCUGUUCUGUCCAAAUACCAGCUGCCUUUAGUGGCAGGUGCAGAGUUUAUAUAAUGUAGUCCCUUCUUGAUUGGCGGCGUCCAGCAGGAGGAGUGCAGAGCGCGCAGGGAGAUCAGAGUCCGUCAGGAACAGCGAAGAAGAGUGUAUCCAGCAAAGAAGAAAUCCGAUCCCAUCAGAAACAGCGGUACCCAUAGCACGGAGGAAAACGGUGCUUUUCAGCGACAUCGGCUGGCCAGUCUGUUGAUGAAGGAGAAAGAAGAAGAAUGGACUUCAGUCACCAUUAUUGGCGUGUUAGAGUCUGAAGAAUGCAGCUCAGACACCUUUUAUGAGCUGUGCCUUGAAGAUGGAAGGACCCUCUUCAUUGACCACAAGAAUGGCAGCCUUUGGACACAGAGCAAAAGAAAGGGAAAGGCCCUUUCUUCAUUAAAGGCAAAAGAAUUGUAGAGAUUAAUCUGAAAAUAUGAAUUCUUGAUAUGAUGUAUUUUUUGGUGUUCAGGAGGAAAGGUAUUUAUCUGUACUGUUUUUAAUAUUGUGUUCUUUUUUCAUGUAUUUUAAUGUUAAAAUAUUAAAUUGAUAUAUUUUUUUAAAUGAUUCAUUCAUUCAUUUUUCUAUACCACUUAUUUCAUAGUGGGACCUUCUUGCUGCAAGGCAACAGUGCUACCAACUGCACUAAAAAAACAAGCAAUUUAAGGAGAGUCAUUAUGAAAGCAAAUGAAAAAUUAUUGGAGGAUCUUCUGUGACAUGAUUGGGAAAGAAACCAAAACUAAUAAAGAUUGGAAAGUAAUUAAAAUUGAAUUAAAAACAAUAUGCAUAUCAAUCUUAAACGUAGGUAACACAAAUAUAUUUAAAGAUGAAGAAACAACUGAAAUACUAGCCGAAACAUUUAGCUAAAUUCAUAAUAUCAACAUCAUUAGUAACGAGGGAAGUAAACACAACUUAAUAUAUACUUUCAGAGAGCUUCCCUGAUGUUCAUCCCUUACUUUAUAAUUGUAAGAAGCAGGGUUGCUGCUACGUUUGAUAUUUAAACUGGGUUUCUGUUGCAGGACCGUACAUCACAGGAGGAUGAGUUGAUGCUUUGCUUUUACUUUCUUUUCUCCAUUUUCAUCAAGUGAUGCUCUACAACCAAGACAGCUAGAUGGGUGUGAAUAUGGUGUUCACCAAAUGAAAGAAAUUAUUUAAAGAAAGCAGGGAACUGCUAUAAUAAAUAGCAACCUAAGCACAGGCAGUGACAUUUUAAUUUUAUUGUAUUCAGUGUUGGUACGGAGGACUGAAAGAUGCAAUGGUGUGGCCCCUCCUGACAUCUAGGCCUCUUCUUUUCCCCCAAGAUGUGAGAAAUUCUGUUUACAGCACAGGGAAUUAGGUUAUUUCCACAUAACAUUAACCUUAGAUUAAUUUUUGAUUGUGCUAUACAUAAAAUAUACAGUAUUUAUGCCUCUGCAUCUACAGUGCCAUUGAAUAUAUUCAGUCUCUUGGUUUUGUUUUCAUUGCUGUAGUAACAAUCAUGGUCUACAUAAAUUGGCUUUUUUUUUUUUUUUACAAAGAAAUAUAAGAAAACAUUGUGUCAAUGUUAUAUUAAAUUUUUAAAGGGUGAUGCCAAUUAAAUAAAAAUAUAUAAUGAAAAAUAAGUGGUUGCAUGCUCUGUAUACAUUUGAAUUAACCUUGACAUUGAGGAGGUUUAGAAGAAAAGGCCAAUUUAUAACGACCAUGAUUGAUUUAUUACAGCAAUAAAAACAUAAUCCUCCCAAGGGUGCGAAUAAUUUAAUUUUUUUAUAGAAAUAGAUGUGAUUUUUUUUUCUUAUUAACCAAGUUUGUAAUCUUUAAAAAAAGACCUUCACAGAAACUUGUUCUUUCAGAUGCUUCUUGACAAAGUCAUGUAGCCAGUUAGGGACACUGAUGAUGAGGAUUGUGAUGCUGAGUCACAGGUUUUCUCAGAACAUUCAUUGAAACAGAUACUCUGGUUCAGCUGCUGAGAUUCUGGGCCGGCUGGAAGGUGCUUCCUUCAGAACUCCAAGCGGAGAUUUUGAGGGGAAGUUUCGUACUUCAUCAACGUGCUUGGAGACACUGAAGUUCCCAGCUUGUAUAAAAAACUAUGACGACUUUAAGGAAGCACUUACUUCUGCUAUACACAGUUCACACUUUGGAUUUGUUGAAGUAUUCAGUGGCAGAUGAAUUCGAUGUUAUGUCCAGGAGGGCAUGCUAAUUUGAAGUUCAGUUGUGUAAACCUGUUUUAUUUUUUUUAAACACAUUUCAGCCCUUGGAGGCAUAUAUCAGUUGGACAAAGUUGUUUAUUAAAAUGCUCCACUUAACAAAACAGCUUAGAUGUUCUUGAGGUGUCAUAUAAUGACAGUUUUAACAGACUUAAAACACGUUCUCUUAUUUUCUGAAAGUUUCAAUCGUCAGACCUCUUGAUGCCAGAUCAGCUGGAUUUUGUGAGCUACUGACAUACUUCCACUGAGAUCGAUCUGUCAGUUCUCUGAUCAAAGAGACUCGAUUUGCCACAAACGUUUUAAAACGAAGGACAUCAUUUUCAAUGUAACUCAGUAUCGUAGUACUGUCUGUCCAGAAGACUGAUUUUUCCAAUGGUACUUGAAGCUCUUCUCUCAGCAUCCGAUCA